rnacentral:misc_RNA from 1 species
AAAAAGGCCAAAAAUACAACUAAGCAUUACAAGGCUAAGCUACUUUUAAGACUAAAAAACGAAAAUGUUUACUAAAUAAAGCUACAUCCUACAAAUUUCAACAAAGAAGCAACAACCCACUAAAAGAUUAAAGACCCCCAACACUAACACCUAACAUUUUCUAAAUUAUACCCUAAUUUCACCAUUUUUAUACUUAUAUCUACAUAAUACAUGUACUCAUACAAGUAGUAUAAGUCCGUAU